CGAGGCGGGCGGCGGCGGCGCGGCGGAGAGGCGGACAGCGGCGGAGAGGCGGACAGCGGCGGAGAGGCGGACAGCGGCGGAGAGGCGCACAGCGGCGGAGAGGCGCACAGGGGCGGAGAGGCGCACAGCGGCGGCGAGGCGCACAGCGGCGGCGCAGGCGCGGAGAGGCGCAGGCCCAGGCUCCACUCCCCAGCUGUGAAAGGGAGCUCUACGGUGAUUUUGAAGACUUGGAAACGGGACGUGCACAAGGGAAAAUCGGGCCCCGACACUCAGAAUGAAGAUAUAGAGAAACAAGGAAGAAAUUGACCCUGACGAAGAAGAAAGUGCCAAGAAAAAGCAUUUGGAUAAGAAGAGAAAAUUGAAGGAGAUGUUUGAUGCAGAAUAUGAUGAAGGAGAAAGCACAUAUUUUGAUGAUCUUAAAGGAGAAAUGCAGAAAGAAGCACAGAUGCGUCUGAAGAAACAUCGCUGGUAUAAGAAAAUCCUCAAGUCCCAAGAUCCAAUCAUAUUUUCUGUAGGGUGGAGGAGGUUUCAGACCAUCCUGCUCUAUUAUAUCGAAGACCACAAUGGAAGACAAAGGCUUCUAAAGUAUACGCCACAGCACAUCCAUUGUGGAGCAGCCUUUUGGGGCUGGAGUGCAGUGGCAUGAUCUUGGCUCGCUGCGACCUCUGCCUCCUGGGUUUAAGCGGUUCUCCUGCCUCGGCCUCCCGAGUAGCUGGGAUUACAG
rnacentral:lncRNA from 1 species